AACGAACGCUGGCGGCAGGCCUAACACAUGCAAGUCGAACGCCCUAGCAAUAGGGAGUGGCAGACGGGUGAGUAACACGUGGGAACCUUCCCUAUAGUACGGAAUAUACCAGGGAAACUUGGAGCAAUACCGUAUACGCCCGAGAGGGGAAAGAUUUAUCGCUAUAGGAUGGGCCCGCGUAGGAUUAGCUAGUUGGUGAGGUAAUGGCUCACCAAGGCGACGAUCCUUAGCUGGUUUGAGAGAACGACCAGCCACACUGGGACUGAGACACGGCCCAGACUCCUACGGGAGGCAGCAGUGGGGAAUAUUGCGCAAUGGGCGAAAGCCUGACACAGCAACGCCGCGUGGGGGAUGACGGCCUCGGUUG
rnacentral:rRNA from 1 species